rnacentral:lncRNA from 1 species
GCUGGGGCUGGCCCAGGGGCAUCUGGCCUGUCCUUUGCCCCAAAUCACCCCCUGUAGGCCAUCCAUGGCCUGGAGCAAAGCAACAGGUGAGGAGACACAGCAAGACUAACCCUCCAAGCCCUUCAGCCUCCUGGGAGGCAAGCGGCCUGGGUCUUGGCAGUGACUGUCCUUCCUCCCUUGUGACCCUGGGCAGCCACUGGCCCUCUCUGGGCCUUUCCCAUCUGUACCUGGAUGCUCCCUAGAGGCCUUUUGAUGCUCUUUUGUUUCUACAAGGGGAGGUGAAACCAGAAAGGGGCAGUGACAUGCCUAAAGUCACACAGCAGAGCAGAGGCCCGGACUUUCUCUUCUCCCCAGGGGUCCAGGCCUCCCACCCUCCAGCUGCUCCGAAUGCUUAGAAUGGGCCAUUCUCCUCUGGAGGCUGAGCACGGCCCUCUGGGAAGACAAAGACCCAUUGUGCUCGGCUUGACCCAGGUUCCUGGCCGAGGACCCACUACUUGAGGCUUGGGAGCUCAGAUGUUUGGGUGCCAGGUGGCACUCCAGCUAAGGCUGGGGUCCCUUGUGGCCCACUGUGGUCAGCUGGACAUGUCCAGAGCUUGGAGCCACAAUACCUGGGACUGAGUCUGGGAUCCAGGCCAGGCUGAAUGUUGUGUAUGUAGGGCCAUGUCAUGACAUGCGGGGCUGCCUGGGGCCUGUUGGAUUGUCACUGUCUGCAGGGCCAUGUGACAGAGAGAAUGUUGCACCACUGUAGCAUGCUGGAGCUUGUGGUAGAUCCGAUUCGGGACCCCGUGGCAGAGUGUUGGACUGUGCCGUGGCACGCUGCACUGUCUGAUUUUCUCAUUCAUUCACUGGGUAUUUGUUGAGCAUUUACUAUGUGCCAGGCUCUGUGCUAGGUGCUGAGUGUUCAAGGUUGGGCUAGACAGACACAGAUCCUGCUGUCAUGAAGCCUUCAAUCUAAUGGGAAGACACACAAAUAAAUAAGCAAAGAAACAUAUCAAUAAGUCAUUCCACAAUGUGCAGUGCUAUGAAGAUAUGCACAUGGCACAGGAACCUGAAGAAAUGCAGUGGUCAAGGAGAUCUCGGAGGGGAAUGGCAUUUGAACUGAAAUCGGAAAGAUAAGAAGGAGGCAGCCAUUCCUAGAGCCCAGGGGAGGUGCUUCAGGAAGCCAGGUCAGCAUAAACAAAGGCC